AGCGAACGCUGGCGGCAGGCUUAACACAUGCAAGUCGAGCGGGCACUUUCGGGUGUCAGCGGCGGACGGGUGAGUAACGCGUGGGAACGUGCCCUCUGGUUCGGAAUAACUCAGGGAAACUUGAGCUAAUACCGGAUACGCCCUUUUGGGGAAAGGCUUGCUGCCGGAGGAUCGACCCGCGUCUGAUUAGCUAGUUGGUGAGGUAACGGCUCACCAAGGCGACGAUCAGUAGCUGGUCUGAGAGGAUGAUCAGCCACACUGGGACUGAGACACGGCCCAGACUCCUACGGGAGGCAGCAGUGGGGAAUAUUGGACAAUGGGCGCAAGCCUGAUCCAGCCAUGCCGCGUGAGUGAUGAAGGCCUUAGGGUUGUAAAGCUCUUUUAUCCGGGACGAUAAUGACGGUACCGGAGGAAUAAGCCCCGGCUAACUUCGUG
rnacentral:rRNA from 1 species